UCUCUCAGAUCUUUGCAAGAAGGAAUGGCCGGAGCAAGGAGAGAAAGGAUGAACGGCGGCAACUUAUCGCCGAGGACCGCCGGACGUCCGAUCCCAAGGAGGGGUAAAGUAAAAGUGACUAUCUUGGUCGGGAUUGUCAAUUCUGUUGCUUCUCUUUUUUCUCCAAGUAGUCAUAGAGCAGCGGCUGCUUACUUGUCUUAGUUUAUUUGAUUGUCCUAAAAAGUACCCAAGUUUUGGUUGAUGAAUUUGUAAGAAAGAGAUGGAAGGGUGACAGCAUUUGGCCAUCCUAGGAAAAGAUAUGAGAUUUGUGUUUUUGUUGUUCAUGUUCAUGUCUGCUUUGUACAGCUUUCAGAUAACUGAUUUUUCACCUGUUUCCCCCCAUAUUUUACUGUUCUAUGUUUCCCUUUAUAUUAAUCAGUUUCACCAACAUGAAGCUGACAAUAAAAUAUACAAAAUCAAAAAGUAAAUUUGGAAUCAAUGAAAGAUUUAUAGUAUAAAAGACUUGAACUUUAUUAAAGACCACUCAAAACCAAUGACUCUGUCAAGGUAUGUACUUAAAGGUCUAGUAACAGGAUAAGCAAGUUGGCAAUGAAUAUGAUAUAUAUCAACUCACCUCAUGAGUGUUAGGUGCCAAGGCCUAUGCAAGAAGCAAGAUAGAAGUAUGAGUUGGGGCUUAUUGUUGCCAAUGCAGACUGUAUCUGGCUAACAGGUUCGGAAACUGAGCGGAAUUCAAGCGUCCCAACACAAGUUGAAGCAAGCAAAGGGUUGAACACCAUGUGGUUUCGAGGUGAUACGCAAACAACAUCAUAGAUUCUGGUGUCAAGCCCCUUAGGAAUCCGUAUGGUGCCCAUCCGGUACCAAGGACAACCACUCUAGGCUGUUCGCCUUGCUUGGUUGCCUCUAGUCCUGGACACCUUGGUUCAUCAUGUUUCGAUUUGGACUAUACUUCCCGCUAUGCUAAAGGAACUGAUAAUGUGGGUUGUCCUAAUUCCCUGCUCCAAAAACUCAUGUGAUUUAACCUUGUUGUGGUGGAAAGCCAAGUCAAGUUGCUCUGCACAUUGCUUUUUUCAAGGGAAGGAAAGAAAUCUUUGCGGUUUCGGAGAAGGUAUUCCUCUCACUCGUGUGAUCCCUGAAGGUACCUCCUGAUCUUCUGAAGCCACUCCUUGCAACCUGUGCAAGAGCCAUGAAUCCACUUGAUAAUGAAUUGUCAUACUUCUAACAUUUAUAGUGCUUGAACAGAGGACCUCAAGGAAUAAUAAUACUUCUUUUACUACUGAA